AGUGAACGCUGGCGGUAGGCCUAACACAUGCGAGUCGAACGGCAGCACAGUAAGAGCUUGCUCUUACGGGUGGCGAGUGGCGGACGGGUGAGGAAUACAUCGGAAUCUACUUUUUCGUGGGGGAUAACGUAGGGAAACUUACGCUAUACCGCAUACGACCUACGGGUGAAAGCAGGGGAUCUUCGGACCUUGCGCGAUUGAAUGAGCCGAUGUCGGAUUAGCUAGUUGGCGGGGUAAAGGCCCACCAAGGCGACGAUCCGUAGCUGGUCUGAGAGGAUGAUCAGCCACACUGGAACUGAGACACGGUCCAGACUCCUACGGGAGGCAGCAGUGGGGAAUAUUGGACAAUGGGCGCAAGCCUGAUCCAGCCAUACCGCGUGGGUGAAGAAGGCCUUCGGGUUGUAAAGCCCUUUUGUUGGGAAAGAAAAGCAGCAGGUUAAUACCCCGCUGUUCUGACGGUACCCAAAGAAUAAGCACCGGCUAACUUCGUG
rnacentral:rRNA from 1 species